rnacentral:rRNA from 1 species
GACAGAGGGUGCAAACGUUGUUCGGAUUUACUGGGCGUAAAGCGCACGUAGGCGGCUUUGUAAGUUAGAGGUGAAAGCCCAGGGCUCAACCCUGGAAUUGCCUUUAAGACUGCAUCGCUUGAACAUCGGAGAGGUAAGUGGAAUUCCGAGUGUAGAGGUGAAAUUCGUAGAUAUUCGGAAGAACACCAGUGGCGAAGGCGACUUACUGGACGAUUGUUGACGCUGAGGUGCGAAAGCGUGGGGAGCAAACAGG